CUACGGGAUGCAGCAGUGGGGAAUAUUGCACAAUGGGCGCAAGCCUGAUGCAGCCAUUCCGCGUGUAUGAAGAAGGCCUUCGGGUUGUAAAGUACUUUCAGCGGGGAGGAAGGGAGUAAAGUUAAUACCUUUGCUCAUUGACGUUACCCGCAGAAGAAGCACCGGCUAACUCCGUGCCAGCAGCCGCGGUAAUACGGAGGGUGCAAGCGUUAAUCGGAAUUACUGGGCGUAAAGCGCACGCAGGCGGUUUGUUAAGUCAGAUGUGAAAUCCCCGGGCUCAACCUGGGAACUGCAUCUGAUACUGGCAAGCUUGAGUCUCGUAGAGGGGGGUAGAAUUCCAGGUGUAGCGGUGAAAUGCGUAGAGAUCUGGAGGAAUACCGGUGGUGAAGGCGGCCCCCUGGACGAAGACUGACGCUCAGGUGCGAAAGCGUGGGGAGCAAACAGGAUUAGAUACCCUCGUAGUC
rnacentral:rRNA from 1 species